rnacentral:rRNA from 1 species
GUGGGGAAUAUUGGACAAUGGGGGCAACCCUGAUCCAGCCAUGCCGCGUGCGGGAAGAAGGCCUUCGGGUUGUAAACCGCUUUUGUCAGGGAAGAAACGCUCUGGGCUAAUACCCCGGGGUAAUGACGGUACCUGAAGAAUAAGCACCGGCUAACUACGUGCCAGCAGCCGCGGUAAUACGUAGGGUGCAAGCGUUAAUCGGAAUUACUGGGCGUAAAGCGUGCGCAGGCGGCUUUGCAAGACAGAUGUGAAAUCCCCGGGCUUAACCUGGGAACUGCAUUUGUGACUGCAUCGCUGGAGUGCGGCAGAGGGGGAUGGAAUUCCGCGUGUAGCAGUGAAAUGCGUAGAUAUGCGGAGGAACACCGAUGGCGAAGGCAAUCCCCUGGGCCUGCACUGACGCUCAUGCACGAAAGCGUGGGGAGCAAA